CCCUGUGUGAAGAAGCGCAUAUCGUGCCUCCCAUGGCCCUGGCACUCUAUGGGGCCCUUGUGUAUCCAAAAGUAGAAAUGCUUUUCUUGGGGGAAAUGCUCCUUUUCCCCAAAAUCCCAGUGGGAUGCAGAGAGACCACAGACGAGCCCCACGAGUCCUCACAGGACACAAUGGGAAGUCAGUCUGAGAAAAUAGACAGCUGAAUGGAGGCAGGCAGCGCUGUGUGAGUUUGUAAACCCCAGCCCAGCUCUGGGUAUCUGGCUGAUGAAUAGGGAUGGCCGGGGAUGGCUGUAGGGGUUCCCAUCUUCACCUCAGAGCCCAGCCCCUGCUUCAAGACACCUCAGCUGCUUGUGCGGCAGGAAUUGAACCGCUGCAAAUUACAGCUGGGUGUAUUAAAGGCAGCCAAAGCUGGUGCCAGUUUUUCUAUUAAUAUUACUGCUCUGCAAACCGUGCUGGUUCAACAGCUGCCUCCAAAACAGCUGAGCCACCUUCGCAGCACGGAUGAAAACUUCCGAGAGAGAGGUGGGGCAGACAGCCGGCAGCAGGAAUCGCCACAGCCAUCUCCGGCUGCUGUUCAGCCAUGGGAAAUAAGUUCCGGAGAUACAACCCUAACAGAUGGGCAAACCAACAAGAGAACAUGUGACAUCUGGGUGAAAAGCUUCUUGCACCGUGGGAUGGUAAGGAGCAGGCUAUGUUUUGAAAGCAGACCUCUGACACAGGGUCUUGCAUUUUGUCUUGCUGUCACACUGUAUUACCACACCACAUCACGCUGUGUGACAUAACCGACAAACCCUGUUGUAACCUGCCUUUGUAUGUGUCAUGGGAAGACAACCUGCUGCUUGAUGCUUGUAAGGGUGCUUCAGUAAAAAGGCAAUCCUGCUACUUCCCUACACCCAGAAGUGUAUCAGAAGCAAAGCUGAAUAUAAAGAUUUGCUCUCUUUCUGCCCAUCUAUAUUCAGCUCCAGGCAGUCAUCACUUGUUCCCCAGAACAUUUCAGAAAUUCCAGAGUACAUAGUGAUAUAAAGCCUCUGAAUGGAGUAACGUCCCGUGAAGAAAGAGUCUGCCUGUUGAAACCUACUAUUUCACAUUCAAGUAGGAGGUGUAUGAUAGAGCACACCGCAGCAGAGACCUGGUAGCAUAUAUCAGUGAGGACAAAUGAACUUUCCAGUGCUGGCCCAAGGCAUUUCAGUUUUGUCUUCCACUUAAGUUUGCUCUUCUAACCCUAUUCAUGCCUCGUCAUCUUGAUGUUGGUGAUACAAUGAUAUCAGUCUGGAAGUGAUACCAAAGAACUACUCAGAAUCUGAAAACUUCAUACUUUCCUUUUUGCUACAUUCCCCAGGAAUUACCAGUUGCAUCAAUUUGUGGGAGUCCCCACAGAUAACAUUUAACCAAGCACUCUUCUGAUUUAUCUGGUCCCCAGGGGAUUUCUAACCUAUGCGGACUAUGUCUGUGGAUAAUGAAAUACAAUGUCAUACCACAAAUUAAACACAUUAAGCUAAAUGACGGUCUCUCACACUUUGUGAACUUCUAUGCUUGUAAAUGUUCCUUGAUAUGUUCAAUACCACAGACUCUCCUUAAAUUCAGAGAAAUGAAUUCUUUCAUGCAGCUCAAUAAGCAGCAUUUAGAAAGCCUCUUUUUAUACUGACCAAGCAGAUCACUCACCCCUGGGUACCAGCUCAGCAAAAUGGUGAGAUACUCCUUUGCACCUUGAUUUAAAGGUGGAUUUCAUUCAGCAAGACAAUUUUGCUUUGCCAG
rnacentral:lncRNA from 1 species